GUUGUGGUUAAAAAGCUCGUAGUUGAACCUUGGGCCUGGCUGGCCGGUCCGCCUCACCGCGUGUACUGGUCCGGCCGGGCCUUUCCCUCUGUGGAACCCCAUGCCCUUCACUGGGUGUGGCGGGGAAACAGGACUUUUACUGUGAAAAAAUUAGAGUGCUCCAGGCAGGCCUAUGCUCGAAUACAUUAGCAUGGAAUAAUAGAAUAGGACGUGUGGUUCUAUUUUGUUGGUUUCUAGGACCGCCGUAAUGAUUAAUAGGGACAGUCGGGGGCAUCAGUAUUCAAUUGUCAGAGGUGAAAUUCUUGGAUUUAUUGAAGACUAACUACUGCGAAAGCAUUUGCCAAGGAUGUUUUCAUUAAUCAGGAACGAAAGUUAGGGGAUCGAAGACGAUCAGAUACCGUCGUAGUCUUAACCAUAAACUAUGCCGACUAGGGAUCGGACGAUGUUAUUAUUUGACUCGUUCGGCACCUUACGAGAAAUCAAAGUGCUUGGGCUCCAGGGGGAGUAUGGUCGCAAGGCUGAAACUUAAAGAAAUUGACGGAAGGGCACCACCAGGGGUGGAGCCUGCGGCUUAAUUUGACUCAACACGGGGAAACUCACCAGGUCCAGACACAAUGAGGAUUGACAGAUUGAGAGCUCUUUCUUGAUUUUGUGGGUGGUGGUGCAUGGCCGUUCUUAGUUGGUGGAGUGAUUUGUCUGCUUAAUUGCGAUAACGAACGAGACCUUAACCUGCUAAAUAGCCCGUAUUGCUUUGGCAGUACGCUGGCUUCUUAGAGGGACUAUCGGCUCAGCCGAUGGAAGUUUGAGGCAAUAACAGGUCUGUGAUGCCCUUAGAUGUUCUGGGCCGCCACGCGCGCUACACUGA
rnacentral:rRNA from 1 species